CUUUCUUCCUUAACUAUACCCAGUGUCUUUUAAGUUUCCUAAGGGACGAUUGAAGGGUGGGGGUCGACAGUCAGAUGCCAGAGCAGCUAGCGGUGGUGGUGCAGCAACGGCUAGAGGCAGUGUUUUGGCCGAUGGUGAUAGGGUAGCCAAGAGAAAAAGAAGAAAAGGGGCACUACCCCUUAUGCCACGACUAUGGUAUCUU
rnacentral:lncRNA from 1 species